AUACAAGGUGAUGCCACAACACAAAAGAAGGGACAAAGUCAAUAAAAAUCAAACAAAGAACCCAAGCAGAAGCGUAAUCUUGCAACAGGCGAGAGCUGCACCCGGAAGCAAGGAUGGAACGGGAGCGGCCCCAUUGAUCAAUGGCCUCCCGCGCCUUGCAUGGGGCCUUCGAACAGCCUGCUGGGGAGAGGGCGCUCUCUACUCUCCCCAUUGUUUAGAAUCCCCACCCCCGGUCCCGCACGGAGGCCUCUUUCCCCAAGUAAACCCAGGGCUGCAGUCCUCACAGAAAAAUGGAAAGAAACACAUCUGCCCAGCAGGGCUGGAACUCCACCAUGCAAGAGUAACAGCUGGGGCUGUAGGUUGCAGAGGGUCCCUGGGCCUCCAUCUCACCUGCCCCUCAGCCUGGGCCUGCUGAGCAGAGAUCCAGUCUCCCUGCCCUGCCACACACCACGGCUCCUAACGCUUGAUCAAAUGAAUGAGAAUACACCUUCAGCUGCUGGUGCUGGGGGCUGGGACCUCUGCCCCUACAUUGAGCAGAUACAAUCCAGGAUGCUCGAGAACUGCCGAGAACAUCAAUUGAGACAGAAGCGCUUCAGGUGUGGCCCCUGGACCAGCAGCAUCCACCUCACCUGGGAACAUGUUGGAAAUGCAAGUUCUCCCCCUCCCCAGAUCUCCUAAAUCAGAUCCUCAGGGGCGAGGCCAGCACGCUGUGUUUGAACAAACCCUCGCACUGAUUCAGACGCAUGCUCUGCCACAGGCACAAGGUGACAGGUGUCAAGGGAACACAGAAAGACAGAGAGACGAAGGGGAGCUACUGGCAGUACCAACAGCCAAGACCUGGGGCCCUCUCCUCCUGCCUCCAGGAGGCCUGAUUUUCCCUUCCCUGCCUCCCUGCAGAAGUUCAAGGCUGUUCUUUAUGAAAGAACUUACAGGUGGCCUCAGGCCCCCUGUUGAAGGUCAUGGUAUCUUCCCUCUUGUCCUUUCCCAGUCCAGGAGCACUCGGCCGUGACCCCCGAGAGAUCCAUGCCCUGUCAUGCGCC
rnacentral:lncRNA from 1 species